rfam:Toxocara canis scaffold133, whole genome shotgun sequence.
CGGGCAGUAGCUGAGAGGUAGAGCUCCCGCUUCUCAUGUGGGAAGACCUGGGUUCGAUUCCCGGCUGCUUCC